UACGUAGGGUGCGAGCGUUGUCCGGAAUUAUUGGGCGUAAAGGGCUCGUAGGCGGUCUGUCACGUCGGGAGUGAAAACACGGGGCUUAACCCCGUGCCUGCUUCCGAUACGGGCAGACUAGAGGUAUGCAGGGGAGAACGGAAUUCCUGGUGUAGCGGUGAAAUGCGUAGAUAUCAGGAGGAACACCGGCGGCGAAGGCGGCCCUCUGGCUCGUUGCUGACGCUGAAACGCGAAAGCGUGGGGAGCAAACAGG
rnacentral:rRNA from 1 species